rnacentral:rRNA from 1 species
UACGUAGGGUGCAAGCGUUAAUCGGAAUUACUGGGCGUAAAGCGUGCGCAGGCGGUUGUGCAAGACAGAUGUGAAAUCCCCGGGCUCAACCUGGGAAUUGCAUUUGUGACUGCACGGCUAGAGUGUGUCAGAGGGGGGUAGAAUUCCACGUGUGAGCAGUGAAAUGCGUAGAGAUGUGGAGGAAUACCGAUGGCGAAGGCAGCCCCCUGGGAUAACACUGACGCCUCAUGCACGAAAGCGUGGGGAGCAAACAGG